rnacentral:rRNA from 1 species
UUCGUAGGUGGCCAACUAAGUCAGACGUGAAAUCCCUCAGCUUAACUGGGGAACUGCGUCUGAGACUGGAUGGCUUGAGUGCAGGAGAGGAACGCGGAAUUCCAGGUGUAGCGGUGAAAUGCGUAGAUAUCUGGAGGAACACCGGUGGCGAAGGCGGCGUUCUGGACUGCUACUGACACUGAGGAACGAAAGCCAGGGGAGCAAACG